rnacentral:rRNA from 1 species
AGAGUUUGAUCCUGGCUCAGGAUGAACGCUAGCGGCAGGCCUAAUACAUGCAAGUCGAACGAGAUUAAGAGGCUUGCUYCUUAUGAAAGUGGCGCACGGGYGCGUAACGCGUAUGCAACCUACCUUAAUCAGGGGGAUAGCCCGAAGAAAUUCGGAYUAAGACCGCAUAAAAACACAGGAUAGCAUUAUCCAAUGUUCAAAUAUUUAUAGGAUUAAGAUGGGCAUGCGUGUYAUUAGCUAGUUGGCGGGGUAACGGCCCACCAAGGCGACGAUGACUAGGGGAUCUGAGAGGAUGACCCCCCACACUGGUACUGAGACACGGACCAGACUCCUACGGGAGGCAGCAGUAAGGAAUAUUGGUCAAUGGAGGGAACUCUGAACCAGCCAUGCCGCGUGCAGGAAGACAGCCCYCUGGGUCGUAARCUGCWUUUAUUCGGGAAUAARCCUUUCUACGUGUMGGAAGCUGAAUGYACCGAAGGAAUAAGGAUCGGCUAACUCCGUGCCAGCAGCCGCGGUAAU